UUGCAGCGUCCAUUGUAAUUGGGAAGUGGUGGUGUGAGAUGGAACCGUGUCUGGAAGGAGAGGAGUGCAAGACUCUGCCUGACAACUCUGGAUGGAUGUGCUCAUCUGGGAACAAGAUCAAGACCACAAGGAACACCCAGCCAUACUCCCCUUUUUAGCUUCUGGAAGCAAAAUGCAGAGGAUGCGUCAACAGAAAUUGAGCUGCAUUCUUGCUUCUGUAAAGAUUCAUCCCAGGACCUAACAGAGAGCUCCUGGUUACAGAACUGCACACCAGGCUCUCACCUCUUUCUACAUUUUUUUCCCUCCGGUUCAAUGGACUAAAACUAUUACAUCCACGGCUACCACUGGCUUACCUGGGACCGCUGAAAGGAUAUCCAUCCAGAUAAAACAGCUUUGCUCACUCGGUGCCAAGGAUUUGAAACCGUACUAAUCCCCUGUUUGAUCAAUGAGCCCCACGUCGGGGACUAUACUCUUCGCCAUGACGGUGGCCGGUUUCCAACCUACGCUCAUUCUGUUUCCUCACCCCCUCUUUACCUGAAAGUCUGUUACAUCUUAGCGGAGCUCAUUUAGAGGUUGUUAAAAUAUUUGAAGACAAUCUCUUGGCCUGCCUGAAGGUGAAACACAUUGAGAGGCACACACAGAACUGAAAAUGGAAUUCACACAACUGGAGGCAGAGUAGAUACAAAUGACCCUCAUUUUCGAAUAUUUCUGUGCAGAAAUCAUUGGUGUUACUUGCUGAUGGAGACGGAUGCCAUUUCCGGUAAUGCAGGAUAGUCAAAACUUAAACUGACUGGACUAAGCUGCAUACAAUGAGAUGAUAAGAACUUUUUUGGUCUGACUUUAUGACCCAAGCUUCACCCUCAGUAAGGGACACCUUGACUUUUUUUUGUUGGGCAUGCCCAAUGUGGAUUCAUGAGCACUGCAUUUAUUUUAUGUAAGAUCAUUUGUGUAAAUAAACAUAAAUACAUAACUGUAAGAUAACAGAUCAAAGAGGCUGAUAUAUGUAUUCUUCAGAUUAAAGCACCCAUUGUGAACAUCAAUCAGUUUCUUAACCUGUUCAGAGGCUGAAGAACUGCUUUACAAUUUAAGCUUAUUUUGGAAAAAGGCUGAAAAUGAAUUGUAGGUCCAGGUAACUUUUUGUCAUGCUUUUUGGUUAGCACCGACAAUGCUUGUAGUUUCUGUGAAGAUGAGGAAAAACAAUGUAUAGAGUUGCCUCACGUACGAAGGCAGAGGUGACACUUUCAACCUUUUGGCCCAGAUGCAGGAGGGACUUGGAGCAGCUGUGGAUAAAACAUAAGCAUGAUUCUAAGAAAGAGGGGUCAUGUAGAUCUUUCUCACACACAGAAGAGAGGGAAUUUGCUCACACUGACAGAGAGAAAGUAUUAGUCCCAAUGGAGAAAAAUAGCUAUCCCCAGUAGAUAUAAGACAGCCUUAUGAGAAAUAAAAAUUGUUUUGUAUACUGAAAUUCUGUCUCCCAUUUCUCCUCCUCUGUGAAUGGUAUUGUGAACGAUGUGCCUCUUAUAACUAUUUGAUAUGUUGUAAUAUGUGGGUGGAAGAUCUUGUCAGAGUUUCAUUUAUAUCAUAUGAUAACAUUGUGAGCAGAGUUUUUUGCUCGAGUAAACAAGCAAUCAACAUCGGCGCAAGGAGAGUAUGAAAAUGACUUCCGGGCACACAGCACAGUUGGGCCUGCCGCAGCAACAAACGAAUCUGCGAUGCUUCAUUUACACAAUUCCCUUGGUGGCGGAGUGGAUUUAUCAAAAGAGAACAUUCAAUUCAUUCAUGCAAUUAGAAUAAAGAUUUUCAAUAUUGUGGUGGGCAAAAUUCCAGAUGAUUUUCAAUAUCAGCCUCCCCUUUCGGCUGAGAUUAGAUUCGUCUCUUCUCCCUGUGGAUGCGCUGGUGCACAUUCAUCAUUUAGGAAUAUGGCUAGUUUCAUGAAGCACAGUGCCUUGCUGAGCAGUCACAGAAGGUAUGAAGCAGACAGACGCAUCAAUCUCCCAACGGCCUUGCCAGACUCAUGAAGGAAUAUGCAAACCAUGGGAAAAGAACAACGGGUGUUUUAUUUUGCGAUAAUCUCCCUCCUUGUUUUUAUAUAUUUUCAUGUAAUCAGUUUAACUUAGAGAAAAUGGGCUAAAAGUGCAUGUCAUGCGUUGAGAAAUUGUCUAGCAACAAAAAUCAACAAAUUUUUUGCCUGAACUCCAAUAUCAUAAGUGCAGGGUUUUUUUUUUGUUUUUGUUUUUUUUUUCUUUUAAUAUCAUUGCAGUAAGAAGGGUAUCAAAAUGAACCAUCACCAUCAGGAUGCAAUUGGUACCUGCAGGUGAGAUGUUUGCUCAAUCAUUAAAUUGACCCAGAGCUGAUCAGGAGAUGCUGUUUUUAAGCGUUUUAAACAUUUAGCCUUUUUUGUUCAACCUAAAAUAUACAUUUCAAAAUAUUAGAGUUUAAGGUUCAAACAUGCAUUUCAGUCUGUUGAUACAAGCCACUUGAACCACAGUUUAUUACAUAUGCCUAUUCAUAUUUUUCAGCCCAUUUUCACCAUAAAGGUAUACAGUUUUUACUGCAGCCUCCUUUUGUGCCAUUUUAAAUGCUAUCUACACAGAAGAAUGGAAGAGGAACCAACAGCAAAAACCAAAGUACUAUUUUAACAGGCCAUUUUCCCUAAGAGAUAAAUAACAUACACUGGGAAACAAAGAUCUUACUUCAAUAUAUUUCUUAAAAACAAGCAUUAUUCCUAAAUCCUUAUUUUAUUUUACUUGUAAUCUGACCGGUUUUCUUCUUCAUCCCGUUUUGUUUUGUGCUACUCAGAUUUGAAGCACAUUUGUUCCCUUUGGAACACACAAUGGAGGCAUUUACAAAAAUCUGGAAAACCUGCAGAGAAUACAAGCAAACCCCCAGCAGCAUGCAUAGGUUAUGAAAUGUCAG